CAACCUUUCUUUCAAUGGCACAGUCACUGUGUCCUUUCUGUCUCCUCAACACUUGCCUGUUCAAAAUAGUCCUGUGUCUUACCCAGGACCUCACAGGAAAUGCAAGCAUAAGGCCAUCCAUACCAAACCCAUCAAACAGUGGAGCUGGCAGCUGCUGGAGGUGAAGAAAAAGGCUGCAGUCUAUGCCCUCAGGAGCCAAAACCAAACAUCUGACCUGAGUUUCUCAGGACUGGGGGGAAGCAGAGCCAUGAGAUUGCAAAAGAGGGGUCAUACUUCUACAUGGUCUCUGUGUGAGUAUGUGAGUAUGAAUUUCUGU
ensembl:lncRNA